rnacentral:misc_RNA from 1 species
AAUUCUCAACCUCAUCGCUUUUGUGAUGAUGGCGCUUGGAUGUGGAGGUUUCUGCAGGCCGAAAGGUCUGCUCCUCUCAAAUGAAUUAGUGGGUGCCCCGCGCAAACCUAUCUAUUGGUGUGAUAAUUAUCUACACCGUGGUCUAGGAUUGCUGUAAAAAGGUGUUUGCCCUGCUUCUAACCGUCCAUUGACUUGGACAACUUGAACC